rnacentral:rRNA from 1 species
GCCCAGACUCCUACGGGAGGCAGCAGUGGGGAAUAUUGCACAAUGGGGGAAACCCUGAUGCAGCAACGCCGCGUGAGUGAAGAAGUAUUUCGAUAUGUAAAGCUCUAUCAGCAGGGAAGAAAAUGACGGUACCUGAUUAAGAAGCCCCGGCUAACUACGUGCCAGCAGCCGCGGUAAUACGUAGGGGGCAAGCGUUAUCCGGAUUUACUGGGUGUAAAGGGAGCGUAGACGGUGAUGCAAGUCAGAAGUGAAAGCCCGGGGCUCAACUCCGGGACUGCUUUUGAAACUGUGUGACUGGAGUGCAGGAGAGGUAAGCGGAAUUCCUGGUGUAGCGGUGAAAUGCGUAGAUAUCAGGAGGAACACCAGUGGCGAAGGCGGCUUACUGGACUGUAACUGACGUUGAGGCUCGAAAGCGUGGGGAGCAAACAGGAUUAGAUACCCGUGUA